GUGGGGAAUAUUGGACAAUGGGCGCAAGCCUGAUCCAGCCAUGCCGCGUGGGUGAUGAAGGCCCUAGGGUUGUAAAGCCCUUUCGGCGGGGAAGAUAAUGACGGUACCCGCAGAAGAAGCCCCGGCUAACUUCGUGCCAGCAGCCGCGGUAAUACGAAGGGGGCUAGCGUUGCUCGGAAUCACUGGGCGUAAAGCGCACGUAGGCGGGCAUCUAAGUCGGUGGUGAAAUCCUGGAGCUCAACUCCAGAACUGCCUUCGAUACUGGAUGUCUCGAGUCCGAGAGAGGUGAGUGGAACUGCGAGUGUAGAGGUGAAAUUCGUAGAUAUUCGCAAGAACACCAGUGGCGAAGGCGGCUCACUGGCUCGGUACUGACGCUGAGGUGCGAAAGCGUGGGGAGCAAACAGGAUUAGAAACCCGAGUAGUCC
rnacentral:rRNA from 1 species